UACGGAGGGUGCAAGCGUUAAUCGGAAUUACUGGGCGUAAAGCGCACGCAGGUGGCCGAGAAAGUCGAUUGUGAAAGCCCUGGGCUUAACCUGGGAAUUGCAGUCGAAACUACUCGGCUAGAGUAUGGGAGAGGGUAGUGGAAUUCCCGGUGUAGCGGUGAAAUGCGUAGAUAUCGAGAGGAACACCUGCGGCGAAGGCGGGUUGCUGGGCCGACACUGACGCUGAUGCGCGAAAGCCAGGGGAGCGAACGGG
rnacentral:rRNA from 1 species